rnacentral:rRNA from 1 species
UACGGAGGGUGCAAGCGUUGUCCGGAUUUAUUGGGGUUAAAGGGUGCGUAGGCGGUUCUUUAAGUCAGUGGUGAAAGCCUCCAGCUUAACUGGAGAAAUGCCAUUGAUACUGAAGAACUUGAGUACAGACGAGGUAGGCGGAAUUGACAGUGUAGCGGUGAAAUGCAUAGAUAUUGUCAAGAACACCGAUUGCGAAGGCAGCUUACUAGACUGUAACUGACGCUGAGGCACGAAAGUGCGGGGAUCAAACAGG